UACGGGGGGGGCAAGCGUUGUUCGGAAUUACUGGGCGUAAAGGGCUCGUAGGCGGCCAACUAAGUCAGACGUGAAAUCCCCAGGCUCAACCUGGGAACUGCGUCUGAUACUGGAUGGCUUGAAUCCGGGAGAGGGAUGCAGAAUUCCAGGUGUAGCGGUGAAAUGCGUAGAUAUCAGGAGGAACACCGGUGGCGAAGGCGGGUCUCUGGGCCGGAACUGACGCUAAGGAGCGAAAGCGUGGGGAGCGAACAGG
rnacentral:rRNA from 1 species